AUAUCAUGUUAUAUAUACAUAUCGGGGAGCUGGUCCAAGUGGUUGAUUUUAAAAAAAAAUCCACUAUAUCACAGGUUAACAUAUAUCAGAAAUUAUAUGAUUUCUUAUACAUACCAAUAUAUUUAAUAGUAAUUUAUUUCCAUUCUCAAAUGUUUCUGUUUCUUGUUUUAUUCAACAUAUAGCCUCCUUAACCAAAAUAUUGGCUAGAUCAACUUUUGACUUCACUAGCCUCUUUCCAUAUUACUUUAUUGAUAGAUUAGAUCAUUCAAACCUUCCUGUCCCUUUUCCCUCCUCAACUGACAUUAUUUUAUACUUUUUUGUUUUUUAAUUGUUUUUCAAAAAUUACUGAAUGUCUUCUCUUUGAUACAAAUCCACCCCAAAGAGCAUUUAACACAUCAUUUAUUGAACACGUACUGUGUCCUAAAUACUUUAAAUGGAUUUUCUGAUUUACUCCUCACAAUGUUUCUUUGACAUGAGUUGCACUGCUAUAUUUGACAUAUGCAACUGAAAGUUGGCAGGACUAAACACAUUUCUCAGAUUCACAGUUAUUUGAGUGUUAUAUUUGGUGAUUGACUUAAGCGACCGAUUGAAUGUUGAGUUUGACAUCUAUGCAACAAGAAAAAGGAGAUGGCCCUGUAGUGAUAGUAAUGUUGGGACACAGAUGUUUUGCUAAUGCUUCACCUAACACUGAGCUCUCAACCCUGACCACAAAGCACAAGCAAGGAUUGGAAAAUCUAGCUAAUAAAAAUUUGACCACCUGUGAUCACCACUGAUAUCGUUAUCUCUGUCAUUCACCAUAAUCCUUGUUCAUUAAGUGAAAACUCUCUGAAUUGGUUAUCUUUUCUUGAAGCACUGUCCUAGAUUUGCAAUGUCAUUUUAUUCCCUGCAGGAAGAUGUGAAGAAUGGGGGAAGAAAUCACUCUUCACUCAAGGGUGCUGCAUUGAGGCCUCCCUCAUUCCUACGUUCUACUACUUUUAUGAGUAACACUUUUGUCCCUUUGUCAAACAGCUAUAUUACAUCUCACUGAGAAUUCUAGACCCUUCACCCAGCGAGUACUUAUUGAGUGCUACUUUGAGUUGGAUGCGGAAAUCUUCGCAUGUAUUUGGAGAGCUUACACUCUGACUUGAACUGGGGCUACCACCCAGGAGACAACAGACAACACUGCGCAAAGCAGUGGGAACUAAACUCCCAUAAGGAAACCACAUUUGCUGUGAAUUCAUGAGAGCAGCUUAUACUGAAGACACUGUUUAACCCCAAUCCUCCCUGAUCACUGGCUCUGACAAUAUUCCUAUCUGCUCUCCUGUGAUGGUCCCUGAGCUUUGUGAAGGGCGUGUGAUGUAGAUGUCCUGUUUGUCAGUUGAACAAUCCGCAGUCCCUAGUUCUUUACACUUAGAUUUGUUGAGAAUUUCUGUGUUGAUCAUUAUGCAGUGCAUAAGCUCUGUCUGUUUGUUGGCUCUCCUACGACUAGAAGGUGAGGUGCUAUACAGUCUGCUGGGGAGACUCAUUGGCAGUCUUAUCCAGUUGAGAGCUCCAGUACACUUUUGAAAGACUUUGUAGUGAGUGAUAUAAGUAUUUCUUCCUUGCACAAAUAUAAAAUAAAUUUCAUUUUCCUUCUUUAGAGACUAUUUGCUUCCAUAUUUCCUUUGACUAUUCUCAGGAUGCAUCUUUUGAUCCCUCUAUUUUGCUCACAUGAUUAUCUUUUCUUCCUUCCUUCCUUUCUUCCUUCCUUCCUUCCUUCCUUCCUUCCUUCCUUCCUUCCUUCCUUCCUUUCUUUGUGUGUCUAAGAUGGAGCUAUCCAGGGAUCAGGAGGUAAACAUAAUCUUUACUGAGGGGUUACCAUUUCUUCCAUCCAUUCCUUAAGUGUUUGGACCCACUCCUGUCUUUUUGUCCAGGACUCACCAGUAAAUGAACAAGCCACUGGGGUAGUUGUUUUGCAUGCUUUGGUUUUCUACACCAGCAGGAGACAGCUGGAGUGCAGCAAAUGAGUGGGCAAGCCUAGGCUGUUCCAGACCUUCCCAGUAGGAUGAAUCAGGGACAAUGAGUCAUUUGUUUCUGACUCCUGUAAUUUAUCCACAAUACCUGUACUGCUUGCUAAUGUGGGGGCUAUUGUCAUGUCUUCAUUGUUGUUUUUCCUUAUCGUCAUUCCCCAAUAUCUUGCCAUAUUUAUAUUCCUUUAUCUUAUUUCUCUCCCUUUGUACAAUUACAAAUACAUCUAUUCAUUUAGUA
rnacentral:sRNA from 1 species